rnacentral:rRNA from 1 species
GGACGAACGCUGGCGGCGUGCUUAACACAUGCAAGUCGAACGGGCAGCACUGGAAGGUUCGCUGGAAGGUGUUGUUAGUGGCGGACGGGUGAGUAACGCGUGAGGACAUGGCUCCAGGAGGGGGAUAACGUUUGGAAACGGACGCUAAGACCCCAUAUGCCGGAAGGUGAAAAUGGCGCAAGCCAGCCUGGAGAGUGACUCGCGUCCUAUCAGCUAGUUGGUGGGGUGAAGGCCUACCAAGGCGACGACGGGUAGCCGACCUGAGAGGGUGGCCGGCCACACUGGAACUGAGAUACGGUCCAGACUCCUACGGGAGGCAGCAGUGGGGAAUAUUGGGCAAUGGGCGAAAGCCUGACCCAGCGACGCCGCGUGGGGGAAGAAGUCUUUCGGGAUGUAAACCCUUGUUGUACGGGACGAUACAAAUGACGGUACCGUACGAGGAAGCCCCGGCAAACUACGUGCCAGCAGCCGCGGUAAUACGUAGGGGGCAAGCGUUGUCCGGAAUUACUGGGCGUAAAGCGCACGUAGGCGGGUUGUUAAGUCGGCCGUGAAAGGCACUGGCUCAACCGGUGUAUGUCGGUCGAUACUGGCAGUCUGGAGUAUGGGAGAGGGAACUGGAAUUCCCGGUGUAGUGGUGAAAUGCGUAGAUAUCGGGAGGAACACCAGUGGCGAAGGCGGGUUCCUGGCCCAUUACUGACGCUGAGGUGCGAAAGCCGGGGGAGCGAACGGGAUUAGAUACCCCGGUAGUCCCGGCUGUAAACGAUGGAUGCUAGGUGUGGGGGGGUUCCCCUCUGUGCCGCAGCUAACGCGAUAAGCAUCCCGCCUGGGGAGUACGAUCGCAAGAU